rnacentral:rRNA from 1 species
AGAGUUUGAUCCUGGCUCAGGAUGAACGCUAGCUACAGGCUUAACACAUGCAAGUCGAGGGGAACGACAUCGAAAGCUUGCUUUUGAUGGGCGUCGACCGGCGCACGGGUGAGUAACGCGUAUCCAACCUGCCCAUCACUUGGGGAUAACCUUGCGAAAGUAAGACUAAUACCCAAUGAUAUCUCUAGAAGACAUCUGAAAGAGAUUAAAGAUUUAUCGGUGAUGGAUGGGGAUGCGUCUGAUUAGCUUGUUGGCGGGGUAACGGCCACCAAGGCUACGAUCAGUAGGGGUCUGAGAGGAAGGUCCCCCANAUUGGAACUGAGACACGGUCCAAAACUCCUACGGGAGCA